rnacentral:lncRNA from 1 species
GUACGCAGCCACCGCCGUCACCGCGGAGGAUCCGGGCGAGGACGAGACCGCUUCUUCAGCCAUGUCUCCUAGAGGCACCGGCACCCCCGCAUCUCAUCUGAUCCGGCAGGCAAGAGAUGCGAUCUUUCGCGAGAAACCGGCAGCAAUCCCGUCCGAAAAGGGACGCAAAAGCGGAGGCCGGACGGCACCUAAAAGCGGCGGGCUGGUGCAGCCCGGGGGGAAGCGUCCAAGGCGCUAGGGACCAAGAGAACCCCCGGAGGCUUCCUCCGGUCGGAUGGCGGGCAGGUGGACACGGCGGGGAUGCGGGGAGGAGACGGAGGAUUGCGGUGGGAAUCGCUGGGGAGCGGAGGAGGGGAGGGGAGGGGAGUGGUGGGAGCGCACGAGCNG